rnacentral:rRNA from 1 species
ACUCCUACGGGAGGCAGCAGUAGGGAAUCUUCCACAAUGGACGAAAGUCUGAUGGAGCAACGCCGCGUGAGUGAAGAAGGGUUUCGGCUCGUAAAACUCUGUUGUUAAAGAAGAACAUAUCUGAGAGUAACUGUUCAGGUAUUGACGGUAUUUAACCAGAAAGCCACGGCUAACUACGUGCCAGCAGCCGCGGUAAUACGUAGGUGGCAAGCGUUGUCCGGAUUUAUUGGGCGUAAAGCGAGCGCAGGCGGUUUUUAAAGUCUGAUGUGAAAGCCUUCGGCUCAACCGAAGAAGUGCAUCGGAAACUGGGAAACUUGAGUGCAGAAGAGGACAGUGGAACUCCAUGUGUAGCGGUGAAAUGCGUAGAUAUAUGGAAGAACACCAGUGGCGAAGGCGGCUGUCUGGUCUGUAACUGACGCUGAGGCUCGAAAGUAUGGGUAGCAAACAGGAUUAGAUACCCCUGGUAGGAUAGCG